GCCAUCAAACAGACCUGGAUGUGCGCAUGGAUCCAUCACAAACAGACCUGGAUGCACAUGGAUCCAACAAACACAGACCUGGAUGCACAUGGAUCCAUCACCCAGAGGCAUGGAUGUGCACAUGAAUCCAUCACAAACAGACCUGGAUGCACAUGGAUCUAUCAAAGAGACCUGGAUGCACAUGGAUCCAACAAACACAGACCUGGAUGCACAUGGAUCCAACAAACACAGACCUGGAUGCACAUGGAUCUAUCAAAGAGACCUGGAUGUGCACAUGGAUCCAUCACAAACAGACCUGGAUGCACAUGGAUCCAUCACCCAGAGGCAUGGAUGUGCACAUGGAUCUGUCAUCCAGGGCCGUGGAUGAGCACAUGGAUCCAGAUCCCAGGCUGUGCACAUGGAUCCAUCAAACACAGCCCUGCAUGUGCACAUGGAUCCAUCAAACAGCCCUGAAUGUGCACAUGGAUCCAGAGCCCAAAGCCCUGGCUGUGCACAUGGAUCCAUCAAACAGACCUGGAUGAGCACAUGGAUCCAUCAAACAGCCCUGAAUGUGCUGAUCCAUCACCCAGAGGCCAGGCUGAGCACAUGGAUCCAUCACCCAAAGCCCUGGAUAAGCACAUGGAUCCAUCACCCAAAGCCCUGGAUGAACACAUGGAUCCAUCAAACACAGCCCUGGAUGAACACAUGGAUCCAUCAAACACAGCCCUGGAUGAACACAUGGAUCCAUCAAACACAGCCCUGACCCCACAGAUCCAUUAUCCCGAGCUCCAGCCUUGAACACCUCUAGGGAUGGGGCAGCCACAGUGAAAUACACUCCGAGUUUUCUGAACGUGUUCUUGCUGCAAGUCAAUCGAUAUCGAUGUGAUUCCUCAGGCUCCCAGUGCCACAGGACUGGUGUGACCCACUCUGGAGGCAUCCCUGUCCCUGAGGAUGUCACUGGGACACUUCAGAGCCCCUCUCUCCCAGAAAUGAGGGACCUGUGUGGCUUCAGAGCCUGCACUCACUCCCCAAACACCCCCAAUCUGCCCUUCACCUUCCCGGGUCUGUGAUCAUUUCCAGAUGGGCAGAUGCUGCUGAAGGGCCCCUUUGAUUUCAAAAGGUCUCUCUGCGAACACAAAGGUCACUGUGGCAGCAGGAUCAGGGCCUUGGAGAAAGAGCUUUGUGAGGAGGAGCACAGAAAUAAAUGGAAAUAACCAUUUAAAGCCACGCUUCCAGGCAGGGGGAUCACUCUUGUCCAAACAGUGCUUUUUGUGUGACCUCACACAAGCUUUAACCUUAAAUUUUCACAGCUCCCCUCAAGCGAAAUUGGCUCCUUGAAACGUUUUUCAGGACAAUAGCAGUGCUGAAAAUAAGAGAAGGAAAAGUUAAGAGGUGGAAAGGAGGGAGGAAAGCAAUGGGUACAAAAAGAGAGGGAGGGCCCACAAGGUAGGAAAGGCACAGAAAGAUCCUCAGGACAAAAGCUGCAAAAGGAGAAGGCCCCACUCACACAGUGGAUUUAUUCAGAGGAGAUUAUGCAAAAAACCAGGAGGAUCCCAGCAGGGGCUGGAGGGAAGAGCCAUGAGGUCAGUGGGCACAAAAAACCCUUAGAGAGCAUUCCCUCAUCCCAAAUCUGGAAUCCACGUCCCUGUGGCAAAUUCAGAUUUAUCUGAGCCCUGGAUCCCAGGGUGUGAGAGGUGAUUCGGGAACAUCCCUCUCUGUGCUGCUGCAGCGUGGGAGUACAGGGUGUUCUUUUCCUCCUGGUGGCUCCUAGAGCAGAGGAAAUCAUCAGUUUGGCUCAGCAGCUUGCCAGGAAUGCUGGAGUGCUCCUGCAGAUUGCAGCUCUGACUUGGGAGCUGUGGGUUUGAGCCCAGUCCCAGAAUCGAACGGACGCACAGAUAAGAAAUGCAGGCAGGAGAUUAAAAAUGCUGGCAGGAAACAGAAUUAAAGAGCAAGGAGCUGUUUGGGAGGUAGCAGGGAGCAGAAAAACAAUCAGGGAGCGCAGGAGGGACAGCUUUGCUGAGGUGUGGAAGGGACUGGAAGGUGCCAAGGGACAGAAUGGUCAGCAGGUGACAGUGAAGGGAAUUCCUGAAAAGCAAGUGCAGCUGCACGGCUUUGGGACAGCUCUGAGUGGCCAAACCAAGGGUUUUCUGCCUUUCUGCCUUUGCUGUUUGCUGUGUGGAUGGAAGCUCCUCUGCAGCCCAGGGAAGGUGAAACAUUCCCCGCAGCUCAGUGUGGAUCAGCCUGACUGCGUGUUAAUGACCUGCGCCAGGAUUUUCUGGAGAAGCCAGAACAUUCCAGCCCAAGGUCCUGGGAGCUGUGGGGGAUCCUGAGCCAAGCAAGGAUUUUUUGGAGGGGAUCACAGCUGGAACAGCCCCAGGAAAACCUCUCUGCACAGGAAACAUCCACCAGGCACCCAGAACCUGCCCAGGGUGUUUAGGAGCAGAGGACAGGAUGAAGAGGAGCAGCCCCGCACUGUUUCACUGUUUACAUCACCUACAAAAAGAAGAAGCUGAACUGUGAUUCCCCUGAGACAGCUCCCAAGGAAUUUACCCAACAUUCCUAGAAAAAAAAACCUCUUUUUUUUUUUUUCCCUUUUUUUCCCACCUACAGAGUUGGCUGCAAAAGCUCAUUCUCACUGCACAAGAGGAAAAAAGCUCAAACCAUUUUGUUGGGGAGAGCCCAGUCCUGCCAAAGAGCCUGGCCCACGUGGGCCAGGCUGUGGGAGCAGGAGUGGGACAGGAGAGAAUAAAGUGGCUCUUGAUGUGGUGGGGCUGGGGGUGAUGCACAGGCAGCAGAAAUGGAAAGGUCAAGUUUCCCAACAGCCCCAAGAGAGGGAUCUCCCUUCUGGGGGAGCUAGAGGGGGAAUAAGGAGGAGAAUCUGAGCAGCAAACAGGGAGAUGGUCCCUGGGAGCACUGGAGAACCUCCUUGGGCAGCAGCAGCACAUUCCCAAGCCAUGGAGGAGGCCACAUUCCCUUUUUGGAGGUGAAGGAGCAGAGAUGGGGAUGGCUGUGGGACAGAUGGGGGGAAAGGAGGGAAAAAGCUGAGUUUAGAUACAGCAGGAGCCUUUCCCUUUCCUCCCUCAUUUUUUCUGCACCAGAGAACCCCAGCCCCAGCAAAACUCAGUUUUGUUCCUGGUGGAGGAAGGUCUGCUUUGCUUUCACCCCACCAACAUCCACCCCUCAGCUCCUGCAGCCCUGCAGGGUCCUGCCUGCCCUGGAGAAGCUCCAGGAGCAGAACAAGUGCUUCCUGCCCUUGGUUCUGCCCAUCAGGUGCUGGUGCUGCUGCCCAGGGUGCCCUGCCCAUCCCUGUCCAUCCAUCCCAUCUCUGCCCAUGCCUGCCCACCCAUCCCAUCUAUCCCAUUCCUGCCCAUUCCUACCCAUCCUUGCCCACCGCUGCCCAUCCAUCCCUGCCCACCCCUGCCCAUCCAUCCCAUCCCUGCCCACCUCCCCGUGCUCAGGGUGCAGGGCAGGUUGCAGGGACACAAAGCCCCAAUCCCAUCACCAUGGAGAUGCUCACUCAAGCCGAGUUCAAAGGAAAUUGUUCCAGCUAAAGCCAAGGCUGGCAGGGGAGCCUGGCUGGCAGCUGAGAGGGGCCAGCUCCUGGUGAAAGGGGGAAGGAGGUGGGGUCAGAAAGGGGCCCUGCUCCAAAGAGCUGCUCCAGAGAGCCCUGGAGAGCUCCCUUGGAGCAGAGCCUCCCCCAGCAGCACAGGAGGCCAGGCAGCAUCCCCAGAACACCCAGGACAGAGAGAAGGGCAGAGAGAGGGGCAAGACACAAUGCAGGACAGAAUGCAGGACAGAGAAUGCAGGACGGAGGAGGGCUGGACAGACAGAAAGGCAGGACAGAGAGAGGGGCUGGACAGAGAAGGGCAGGACAGAGAGGACAGAGCAGGGCAGGACAGAAUACAGGACAGAGAAUGCAGGACAGAGUAGGGCAAGACAGAGAGGACAGGACAGAAUGCAGGAUAGAAGGGUCUGGACAGAAUGCAGGACAGAGCAGGGCAAGACAGAGAAUGCAGGAUAGAGAAUUCAGGAUAGAUCAGGGCAGGACAGAGAGAAGGACAGAGAAGAGCAAGACAGGGAGAAAGGCAGGACAGAAUGAAUGACAGAGAAGGGAAUUGAUAGGGGUUUUUUAGGGUCCUUUCAAGCAUGACAGGCUGGGGGCAGCUCGAGGGGCACUUUGGGGGCUUGAGGGUGGCGGAGGCUGGGAGCUGAGGGAG